rnacentral:rRNA from 1 species
AUUGAACGCUGGCGGCAUGCUUUACACAUGCAAGUCGAACGGCAGCGCGGGCUUCGGCCUGGCGGCGAGUGGCGAACGGGUGAGUAAUACAUCGGAACGUGCCCAGUAGUGGGGGAUAGCUCGGCGAAACGCGGAUUAAUACCGCAUACGACCUGAGGGUGAAAGCGGGGGAUCUUCGGACCUCGCGCUAUUGGAUCAGCCUAUGUCGGAUUAGCUAGUUGGUGGGGUAAAGGCCUACCAAGGCGACGAUCUGUAGCUGGUCUGAGAGGAUGACCAGCCACACUGGGACUGAGACACGGUCCAGACUCCUACGGGAGGCAGCAGUGGGGAAUAUUGGACAAUGGGCGAAAGCCUGAUCCAGCAAUGCCGCGUGUGUGAUGAAGGCCUUCGGGUUGUAAAGCACUUUUGGCGGGAACGAAAAGGAGUGAGCUAAUACCACGGUGCGAUGACGGUACCAGCAGAAUAAGCACCGGCUAACUACGUG